rnacentral:rRNA from 1 species
GACGAACGCUGGCGGCGUGCUUAACACAUGCAAGUCGAACGAUGAUGCCCAGCUUGCUGGGUUGAUUAGUGGCGAACGGGUGAGUAACACGUGAGUAACCUGCCCAUCACUCUGGGAUAACUCCGGGAAACUGGUGCUAAUACCGGGUAGGACUCCGAUCCGCAUGGGUACGGGGUGGAAAGUUUUAUCGGUGGUGGAUGGACUCGCGGCCUAUCAGCUUGUUGGGGGGGUAAUGGCCUACCAAGGCGACGACGGGUAGCCGGCCUGAGAGGGGGACCGGCCACACUGGGACUGAGACACGGCCCAGACUCCUACGGGAGGCAGCAGUGGGGAAUAUUGCACAAUGGGCGGAAGCCUGAUGCAGCGACGCCGCGUGCGGGAUGACGGCCUUCGGGUUGUAAACCGCUUUCAGCUCUGACGAAGCUUUUGUGACGGUAGGAGCAGAAGAAGCACCGGCUAACUACGUGCCAGCCGCCGCAGUAAAAC